UGGAGUUAGACACAGUUGGACCUCUGCAUCUAUGGAUUUUGCAUCUAUGGAUUCCAUCAUCCAUGGCUUGAAAAUAUCCCAAAUACAAGCAGUUGCCAAAUUAUGAACAAGAUUGGUCUGCUUGUUUUUAAGUUGAAUUUGUAUAUGUCGGAACAGGUACAUUUUAAAGUGUAACUCCAGCAAUAUGUGUGUGUGUGUGUUUGUGCUUCAGUGAAAACACCUUUUCCUCAUGAUAACUCUUUCCCUUUUGAGGGGUAGAUUUUUCUCACUCCUGGUUUCUCUCUCCCAUUCUAAACUAUGAGUCGUUUGUAAGUCAGAUGUUUGUAGCUCUGUAAAUAAAUACAUUCAAAAAGUAAACCUUGAUUUUUGCCGUUUGAUAUAAGGGACACCAAAUUGCUACUCUUUUGUAUAUAAUGCAAUCAGAAGAUUUUGUAUUUCUUGGGCUACUGAUGGUCCUGGAACCAAACGUAUUUUUACUAAUAUGUGCAUUUUUAUAGUCUUUUUAAAAAAAAUCUUUUGGCUGGAAUCCUAUAUUAUGGCUUACAUUAUGUAACUUUACAUAUACCUAACUAUGUAGCAGAUGUAAAUACCAUUCAGGAUUGUGGCCAGUUUAUGUAUUUGUACACAUCUUGCCUUUUGACUGAAUUAUUUUGUACCCAUUUCCCUCCCAAAUAUGCAUAUGUUUAGUUGCACCCAUUUUUCAAAGCUGUUCAUGGUUUUUGUGUGCAUCCUGAACCCUGACAAUGCCCAGAUUUCCAAGCCGAUAUUACCGUUGUCCCAUGCCAAGAGAAGCACUGUAUUUUUGUGUGAAAUAUGAACUCAAUGAUCCCCCCUCCAUUCUUACCCUUAAGUCCAGGUAAUCUGAUAAGGUGAGCCUGGUUCUUGGCUCCUGAAGCAAGGAACCUAACUUAAUCAUUUAUUUUUCUUUUGUUUAUUUAAUAUAUUUACAUAAGAAUGUGUACCUUCCACUCCUAAAACCUACCACACUUCUGAAACUAGUGCAUUCCACUACCAGCUAAAAUGAAAGAGGAAAAUGGCUGUUAUACUCCUUGAACACAUCUUAUUUUUUAAAAUUAAAACUGAGCUCCUCCAUUGUAUUUGCACAGUGUAAAUUUACAUGCAUGUAUUUAAAGGGUGAUUGCACUACUACACCACUCUUCUGGCGAAUACCACCAUCAUGCAGCCAACUGCCUAUCUGUGAAUGAGCUUGCUGUUUCUACAAUCCCAGAACAUCAAGAGGGAGUUACACAUAGUGGGAUCUCUGAAGGUACUGACAAACAGCGAUGCAUUAUCCAAGAUUGUGCAAGAUGCAUGUCCAAAAAUUUACACUUGUGGAACUCUGCUUAUGCAAUUGUGAACUGAAUACAGACAUUACACAGUGCAGUAUGACCCCCCUUAUCCUUAUGGACUAUACUGUGGAAACUGGAAUCUAUAGAUGAAAGCAAACCCUAUUGAAAUGAAUGCCUCCUGAAGUUAUCAGAGUUGCCCUGAAGGAUCUGGAAAAUUCCCUGAGAAUCCUGGGACAUUUAGUUUGAUGAGGCAGAGAAGGCGAAGGAUCUUGCCCAACUAUAACUCUCAUGAUUUCAUAGGAUUGAGCCAUGGCAGUUGAAGUGGUGGCAGGUAAAGGUAAAGGUUUUCCCCUGAUAUUAAGUCCAGUUGUGUCCGACUCUAAGGGUUGGUGCUCAUCUCCAUUUCUAAGCUGAAAAACCAGUAUUGACACCUCCAAGGUCAUGUGGCUGGCAUGACUGAAUGAAGCGCUGUUACCUUCCCACCGGAUCCGUACCUAUUGAUCUACUCACAUUUGCAUGUUUUCGAACUGCUAGGUUGGCAGAAGCUGGGGCUAACCGUGGGUGUUCAUUCCGCUCCCUGGAUUCAAACCUGUGACCUUUCGGUCUGCAAGUUCAGCAGCUCAGCGCUUUAACACGCUGCGCCACUGGGGCUCCACGAAGUGGUGGCAAACUGCAUUAAUCCCACAGUGCAGAUGCAGCCUUAAUCUGCACAGAAACUCCAAACCAUGGGCCCUUUCACAAUACACAGUUAUCCAAGAUUCUCCUUUAACUGCCAUGGCAACCUCCUCUGGAAUCCUGGGAUUUGUGGUUUAGGGAGAGAUAUUUCGAUUUCUCAACCAGAAAGGGUUAGUGCUUACAAGCUCCAAGAUUCAUGGCAGCUAAAUUUGGAUUACUGUGCUAUAAUUAAGGCUCGUGAAACAGUCACAAGUCUUUCUGAGUCAGUGUCAGUGCAGAAUGUACAAAAACUUCCCAUUCAUUUUUCCACCUAGACUUCACCAAAGGAUUAUUGUGAGGUUAACAGUGCAGGAGAGAAACAGCAGACAUCUUUUCUGGAAGCUGCCUUGGGUCCCAUGCCGGGAGAAAAGCAGCCUUCAAGUCAUCUGUUGACUUAUAGUGGCACCAUAAGUCGGGUUUUCUUAAGCAAGGAAUAUAUUCCAGUUGCCCAUUUUGAAACAUGGUCUACAGCAAUUGUAUUUACAGUAGAGUCUCACUUAUCCAACAUAAAUGGGCCGGCAGAACGUUGGAUAAGCGAAUAUGUUGGAUAAUAAGGAGAGAUUAAGAAAAAGUCUAUUAAACAUCAAAAUAGGUUAUGAUUUUACAAAUUAAGCACCAAAACAUCAUGUUAUACAACAAAUUUAACAGAAAAAGUAGUUCAUUACACAUUAAAGCUAGGUAGUAAUUACUGUAUUUAUGAAUUUAGCACCAAAAUAUCACAAUGCAUUGAAAAUAUUGAUUACAAAAAUGUGUUGGCUAAUCCAGAAUGUUGGAUAAGUGAGACUCUACUGUAUUUGUGGUCUUCCAUCCAAAUGCUAACCAGAGUUGACCCUACUUGGCCUCCAAGAUCAGACCUAAACAAACAAACAUGCUAACAAAAAAUUUUCUGAGCUCUGUCACAUGAAAUAAAAAUAAACAUGAAAACAAUGAUGUAAUUGUUGUUGACAAUAUUCUUGUUAUUGCUGGAUUAUUACACUGUUAAUAACUAGUAGUCACAUGCAUUUUAGGGCUGUCUAUGAACAGUUGAAGGUCUAAAACCGUUUUUUUUAAUGUUCUAAAUCCCGUAGCUGGUCCCAACUAGAGUUGUCCCAUGGAAUCAAUUGUUGAAUGGUAAGUCAACCGUUAUGGAAACCCCAUUCAGUCAGUCAAUCUUCUCUAGCUGUGGACCAACUGUUAGAUGUUGGCCUCUAUAUCAGUGAAAGCUGAGGGACAGAGGAUGUUGGAUUCCACGUAUUGAACUCAUGAAGAUACAGUUGUGCACAGGAUAUUAAGUGUGGGUUGGGGGACAGCAGAUGAUGCAUUAGCAUGAGCAAGCCAGGCACUUCCACCACGAGACCUGGGAACUUGACCUUAGGUGCCCUUCCAGUUACACCUGGGGCAAAGACGCUGGAUCCACCUUCCUUCCCACUCACUUUGGGAAUGAGUAAUCACUUUCAUUUUCCCUUGGCUACAUUUCUCCUCUCUCCCUCCCUCCCUCUCUCCUUCUCCCCCCUCUCUCUCUCUCUCUCUUUUUGCCAUGAGUUAUGAUAACAUGUAAGCAGCUUAUAGAAUUCUUAUCAGCAGACGCUGAGCACAAUGCAACAAUUAACUCUUAACGACAGCCGCCUCUAACUAUGAGUGACAUGUCAUAAAUUAUGUUUGAACUGGCUCCUGGGUUCUCCUCCACCACCCAGCAGCCGGCCGUCGUAGAAAGUUGCGCCCGGCUGCCUUAAUCCCACUUGGACGGGUGCCCUGGUGCCUCCACCCCCAUCUCUCUCAAUUUUGCAAGCCCCCCCCCCCCUCCUUCGCCCUUUCCAAUUGCAAGGAGCAAAAGCAGAGCACUGGGCCACAUUGGCUUUCGCCAGCAAGGGAACAAUCUUUGUUUCUGUUACUGUCUUAGGCCAAGGACCCGAAAGCCAGCCCAGCUAUGGCAUCAACAGGUCCCGCAGGCAAAGAACUCCUGGCACUCCCAGCCAACCCUCCAACAAACCCCUUUUUAUCCUCUGUUUUCUAGGAAGAAUGAUGAUAGAGGGGCCCUGCUGCUGAUGAGUCAGAUUUGUGGUGGGCCUGGAGAGAAGUCCCGUAAGUGGGGUGUACUGUAAAACAGCGGCUCCCAUUCAUUGAGGCCCUGUGUGUAAUAAACCACCCAAAAUGGGGGGAGGGGGAGGAGGGGAGGGGAGGAAGAGAAGAGGAGGAGGAGGAGGAGACAGGCAGCUGCAGAGAGCAGGCACAAACAACCCACUUCAUUCUUUGGGAGCCAAAACUUUCUAAUUUGCUUCUGGGCAGUUUCGGCUCCCUGGCAUCCUCUGGGAGCGGACAAUGGCCGGGUCUUCUUGAUCCCACCCAAGUUCUGCUCUUGGGAAGUUCUGAGGUCCAAGGGACCACUUUGUUUGGAACCCCAAAUGUAGCCACAAGGAUGAAUAGAGAAAGAAAAGCAUGGCUCAGGGACAUCAGAAAAGUUUAAAGUGGGGCAAGGGAGCCUCUCUCCUCCAUCCCCCCCCCCAACGAAUCUAGCUGACCUACUGGAGGAGGGGGCGGAAUGGGAUUUGGUCCCAACAAAGCAUCAAAUGAAGGCAAAAAAGGAGGGAGAAAGAGCCCAAUGAAUGGAGGGUUUCCUCCCCCCCCCCCAAAUCCCCACGCAAGGCUGACAUAUUUAGGAGUUGCUGAGUUCAGUGAAGCUUGGAUUUUGGGAAAUGAGGUAGUGGGUUUCUUCUUUUAAACCAUCGCAACGAUAGCAGAGUGCACAGCCAGACAUGGGUUCCACUGCAAAAUAUUGUAGGCAGUAUUUUGUAUGCAAUGUGAAAUGUAAAAAUAAAAUAAUAAAGGGGUUGGUGAUUGGAAAUGCCUUGAUAAAAGGAAAAGCAAGACACGAGAUGGAACCGGAGAAGCUGGGAAAUGUUCAAUCUUGGUAUGUGUGAAGGGAAAUGAUCAGUAGGGCUGGACAAGUUUACACCUAGCCUUCCACAGUUGCUGGGUUUAGGGGUUCAGAACCCCAAUGAAAGUGGGAAAAUCAUGAAUUAAAAAAACACAGGGUUGUUGUAUGUAUUGCAGGCUGUAUGGCCAUGUUCUAGAAGGAUUCUCUCCUGACGUUUGGCCCACAUCUAUGGCAGGCAUCCUCAGAGGUUGUGAGUCAUGGAGAAACUAGGCAAGGAAGGUUAAUAUAUAUCUGUGGAGAGUCCAGGGUGUGAGAAGAGUUCUUUGUCAGUUGGAAGUCAGCGUGAAUGUUGCAGUUAAUCAUUUUAAUUAGCAUUGGAAAGGUUUGUCUCUUGCCUGGAGGGCAUCCUUUGUUCAGAGUCAUUAGCCGUCCCUGGAGCUCCUCUGCCCUCAGAGUGUUGCUUCCCAUCUACUGUUCUGAUUUUUGAGAACAGUAGAUGGGAAGCAACGUCAGGAGAGAAUACUUCUAGAACAUGGCCAUACAGCCUGGAAUACAUACAACAACUCUGUGAUCCCGGCCAUGAAGGCCUUUGACAACACAUAAAAAAACACAUUUUUUUAACCUAAGAGAACACCUGUCUGAAAAUUCCUAGGUCCUCCAGGGUGCUAUUAUGGUCAAUCUAUGAAAGAAGUUAAUCAUAGUGUCAUCCUGGGGGAUCUAGAAAUUCCUGAAAAAUCAUAUUAAUCAAAUCGUGAAUAGCUAUAUCCACAAAAGUUAAACUCACAAAUGUUAAACUUACAGACGUAAAAGGCUGAGAACCUUCCCAUUCAAACUUUCCAGUAACUGAGGUAUUAUGUAUACUAUGCUGGGUGGCCAGUUGACUAUCCCUAGUGGUACCAUUAUAAUGAUGUAAACCACAGUUGCUUACAACUUGUCAUAAAAACACACACACAGACACACACACACAAACACACCAUAUUCCCCUAUAACAGGGGUCCCCAAACUAAGGCCCCAUCGAAGUUAUUUAUCCGGCCCCCACACACAAGGGCAGAAGGGGGUUGGGCUAAAUGACCCAAGGGUCUCUUCUUCUCUUACAACCCUUAUUAUUAUUAUUAUUAUUAUUAUUAUUAUUAUUAUUAUUAUUAUUAUUAUUAUUAUUACACAUUGAGGCUAGGUGGCCAUCUGUCAGGGAUCCUUUGCUUGUGCUUUUGGUGCACAAAGGCAGAAGAAGUUGGAUUAAAUGGCCCAAGGGGUCUCUUCCAACCCUCUUUAUUAUUAUUAUUAUUAUUAUUAUUAUUAUUAUUAUUAUUAUUAUUAUUAUUAACAUUGAGGCUGGGCGGCCAUCUGUCAAGGGUGCUUUGCUUGUGCUUUUGGCGCACAAAAGCAGAAGGGGAUUGAACUCAAUGGCCCAAAGGGUCUCUUCCAACCCCCUUUAUUGUUGUUGUUGUUGUUGUUGUUGUUAAUUAUUAUUGCUUGGUGGCCAACUAUAGUCCGGCCCUCCAAUGGUCCAAAGGAUCGUAAACCGGCCUCCUGUUUAAAAAGUUUGGGGACCCCUGCCCUAUAAUCUUAAUUAAAGGGGUUGCUUCCAGAUCAAGAGAAAUAAAGGGAUUACGGUAUUCUUGCUUACUGAAGGAAACAGGAUAUGGAACUUUAACUCUAACCAAGGUGCUCCUAGUCAGAAGAUUGGAAGGUGAACCCUGGCCUCACAAUAACUGGGAGGGAAGGAGGAAGCUAAGUACAUACAUCAAUUUUCUAGGAAGUCUUUGCAAGCUGCAGCAACCAACGGAUGAAAAUUGUAGCAAGUUGCUGCUCCAAUAAGAGUUGCACUAGAGACCUGGACAUAGAACUGUCUCUUAUCCAGAGGUGACUUGAGUCCAUCAAGCUGGAGAACUGGCACUCUAAUCUUUUACCUGGACAUGAAAGGAAGUAUAUAUGAUCUAUACGGUUCCUUGCUGCAAGAUCUUAUGAUGAGGGCCAACUUGGACAGCUUUCAAGGGGACUUAAGCAAAUUAAAGGAGGAUAAGACACUCAGUGGUGACUAAUCCAGGUAGGAGCUGACCCAUGAAAACUGGAGACUCAAGGCUGGGCCAGGAUGGGCCUAAAGAGCUGGCAACCCUAACAUGAUUAGUCACCACUGAAUGUCUCAUCCUCCUUUAAUUUCUUCAAAUCUCUUUGAAAGCUGUCCAAGUUGGCCUUCAUCACGACAUCUUGUGGCAAGGAACCCCAUAGGUUUAUAAGUGCCGUGUGAAGGAGAACUUCCCUUUAUCUUGCCCAAAUUUCCCAAUACUGAACAACUACCACAACGUGAAAUUCUCAUUUUAGACAGUCACUGCUAUUUAAAUCCAUAUGAAACUGAGAUGUGUUUUUCCCUAGUCUGUGCACUUGCCUACAUUGAAUCACAUUUAUCAUUGUCAAGUCCUCCUGCCCAGUCCGGGCAGAUUUCUUCAGAGAUCUUCUCAAUUCCUUUUUGUAAAAACUGUCCUAAGUAAGUUCUGUGCCAUUGACAACUUGGUUAUCUCAGCGUUCACCCCUAAAUUUGGAUCAUUUAUGCAAAAGUUGAAAACACAAUAUAGACCCCUUUGGGACUCCGCAGUGUGCUUCUUCUUUAACCAGUUUCCAGUCCAUAAAAACUCAUCUCCAAUCCUAUGACUAGUAAGUAGGUUUGCUGAGGAGACAUGGUGAGUAACUCUGUCAAAGCCUUUGAGAAGCUCAUGUAUUCACCUUUCUGUUCUUGUUUAUUGACAUUCACAGUUUUCAGAGUUACUCAUCCAUCACUGUGAAAACAUGUCCCAUCAUUCAGAAUGGAAAGAAAGCUACAGUGAAAUUCUGACAUCUUUUUGUCUGUCUGGCUGUUACUAAUCUCUCUGUUUCUCCGUUUCUCUCUCAUCUGUCUGUCUACCUACUUCUCUGUCUCCCAUCCAUCCAUCCAUCCAUCCAUCCAUCCAUCCACACUUGUUCAGUGCCCCAUGCAGGGCAAACAGGGGGCCCUGGCUUCAGCUUCAGUGUGGCACUGGGUAUGCUAGGGAUUUUAGUCUGAACUUUAUUGAGGAACCUUGAUCUAUUAGGUUGGAUAGUUCUGUUAAAGUUUGGACCAAAACCUGGAGCGGAUUCACCAUCCCACAGAGCUGGAAGCCACCAGCUACAACUGCCUGGAACAUGUCUCUGUUUUCCUAUUUUAAGUCUGCUGCUGAAAUUAGUGGUUUAUAUCGAAGCAAAAAAUUUUUUUGGCACAAAUGUUUUCCUCAAGGGCUUUUCCAGACCAUUGCUUGAUGUCACUUAUUGCUCAUUUGUGGCUGAGGAUUUUGACAGGCUCUCAGUGUAAAUGGUGACAUCUGUUUGUGAGAAAAUACAUUUUGCUAACCCCCAUAUUCAAGAUCAGGGAAAAAGUGGGAAUUGUUUCUUAAAGGAGGAGAACUUCCCUUGUUGAUUUCACAUGUCUUCAUCUUCAAGUAGAGUCUCCCAGUCUUGCACUGAGUCAUGAACUGGGCUUAUAAUUCUACUUUAAUCUUAUGUCUCCAUGAUCUAAUAGAAUCCAGGGUUUGUAGUCAAAUGAAGCACUAGAGCUCUCUGGUUGAGGAUUAUUAAUACCCCUCACCAAACUACAAAUCCCAGGAGUUCAUUGGGUGGAACCAUGGCAGUUAAAAUGUUUUCAAUAUAUCAUGAUAUUUUAGCGCUAAAUUCAUAAAUGCAGUAAUUACAACAUAACAUUACUGCGUAUUGAACUACUUUUUCUGUCUUUGUUGUAUAACAUGAUGUUUUGGUGCUUAAUUUGUAAAAGCAUAACCUAAUUUGAUGUUUCAUAGGCUUUUCCUUAAUCCCUCCUUAUUAUCCAAGAUAUUCGCUUAUCCAAGCUUCUGCCGGUCCAUUUAGCUUGGAUAAGUGAGACUCUACUGUACUUCUUUUUUAUUCCACCUUUCUCCCAAUAUGAAGUCUCAAGGCAGCUCACAAUAGAUAUAAAUCAAUGCAAAUAAAAAUGUAUAUGCUACUAAAAUACAAAACUAAAAACUCAAAAAAGACUCAUUAUUACAACAGUGAAACACUGAAAUAUUAAAAUGCAUUAAAAUCUUUUGGGACUGCAAUUUUCAUAAUCCCCUAAUCAUGAACCCCCCCCCCCCAAACUUUCCUGAUCUCUACUGUCCAUUUAAAACAAAAUUAGGAUGCGUGUGUAUGUUAAAGUAAGUAAAUAUGUUAUUGGAGUGUUUGUUUUAGAUUUGGUUCUAUAGUACAUGAUAGUAGUUAGAUAGCUGCGAAGUUUUAGCAAUAUAUACAGGAUAAGUAAAAAAUCAGCAAGGUGUUUCAAUAUUUAAUAACUCCUUUAUUUUAUUUUAUUUCUUUCAAUUAGAUUUUUAUUAAAAGGUUUUUUAAACAAGUGUAUAUAAAAAAAACAAAAAAUAGGAAAAUGAGGAAGGAAAAAGGAAAAAAAGGGAGGGGGAAGGGUGAUGGGGAAACAGAACAUAAUAAAGGAAAAAAGUGUGUGGGGGAGUUGAGAUAAAGGUAAGGGGGUAAUUUGUCAGUCUUCCAUUUUCAUUGCUUCGGGUUGUUUGCUUUCUAGUUCUUCAUAUCUUUCCUUUUUUUUUUUAACUGGGUGGAUUUGUUAAAUUGUGUAUUAAUUCCGACAAAGAUUUUGUUAUUCCUUUGAUAAAUUCUUCAACUUACAUUCCUUACAUUCCUCAUAAUAUGUCCAGUCUGUACGUUUUAUUGGUUUUCCUUUAUGUUGUUUAAUCAAAAAUGUUAAUGCAUCCAUAUCACAUACUUUGUCCAAUUUACCAAGCCAUUCUUCCAUGUUUGGGAUAUUCUGUGUUUUCCAAUGCUUUGCAAGUAUAAUUCUUGCCGCUGUAUUCAUGUAUGUAAAUAAAAUGUCAAUAAAAGGACAAUAACUCCUUUAUUUUUGUUUUGUUUUUAAUUUACAAUACUAUAGCAUCCUUCCCCCCAAAAGGUUAUUAAUUAUUAUUAUAAUAAUUAAUAAUUAUGAUUACUUAUUGUAGGUUCGAACUAUCUGCCCACUCAACAAUAGGAUACUUUGCCAUUAUUAUCUUGCACUUUAUUGACUACUUUAGCUGUGAAACUACUUCUCCCAUUUUGAAAUAUUCUGCACUUUGGCCCAGAUCCGUGUUUUAGUCUCCCGUUUUUAACAUUUUAUGCUCUAUGUUGAUUUUUAUGACUGUUUUAUUAAUGCUGAUGUUUUAUUGUUGGGAUAUUUGUUCAUUGUUUUAUUGCUGUUUGUGUCGGGCAAGGCCCCAUGUAAGCCGCUCCGAGUCCCUCCGGGGAGAUGGGGCGGGGUAUAAAAAUAAAGUUAUUAUUAUUAUUAUUAUUAUUAUUAAAACACCAGAUCACUUUUGGGCCAUCCUGUAUUAUAUAAAUUCUACUCCUUUUUGUGGUGUUGUUGUUGUUGUUGUUGUUGUUGUUGUUGUUGUUGUUGUUCUUUUAUUUUUUUUCUGAAUAAAAAUAGUUUACAAUGAAAUUAGGAAUAGUUGAUUUUCUUUCUUUCUUUUUCCUGGUGUGGGUAGUGUUGGUGUUACAACACAGUUACGACACAGCAAGUGCAGCGGUCUGGGGAUUAGCCGGGGAGCUUAGGGAGGAAUCCUAUUCAUUCUUGAUCCAAGCAGGUGCAAAGCAUGGUGGGAAUGCCAUAGGAGGACCUCCCUUUGCCUCACCACAGGCACACAUUCCAGGAGUUGUUGUGCCACAGUCGAGCCCAGACCCAGCUGACCCCAAUGGGACGCCCCACACCUCCCGGGAUGGUCUGCUUUGUGUGGCUGUGUGUCAGGAAGACCUUUGGGAAGCAUCAGAGUGGAAGGCAUUCCGACGCUUCUGGAAUUCCUGCAGGUGUUUCUGAAUAGGGAAGAGGGGCUCCUUUCACAGGCUUGCAUCUGCAUCCAUCAUGUGCAUUUGGGCAUGUGAUCGGGCUGUUUGUUUGUUUGCCUGGCUGACUGAUGCGGAGCAUCCCUAGCAAAAGGUUGCCAAUGCCAACAGAAAAGCCCUGUCUUCUCGGGAAUGUUUCAGGCCUCCUCUCUCCUGGGUGAGUCCUGGCCUUUCGGGAACAGUGUGCCCGAGUCAUACGUUUGCGAGUAAAAUGACAAACUGCAUGACAAUCGCCUCUGGGAAAAAGAUGAGUUGGACUGUGCAUUGCGUUAAAAAUGAUCACAUGAGGAUUAGUGUCUAACCCUGGUCUAACAUUCAGAAAGAGCUUGAAAACCUGGCUCUUUACUCAGGCCUUUAGUUAAAGAUUGCUCAUCCCCAUAGCAAUCUGUAUCUGUGACCAUUCCUGUACCGGUUUGCACUUUUUACCUUUGUCAACUUGAUAUAGACACAGGGUCUACUCCCAUCCCAAUUUGCACUUCCAAGAAUUUGCAGCACUUUAUCAGUCACCUCAUGUUUACAAUAUUUAUAUGGUGCACCUUACCCAGUCUCUUUUACAACCUCUCCGUUUUAAUCCAUGUUUUUAUUAGUUCUUGUCAUUUGUUUUUAAUGGCUAAUGUUUAAAUUUUUAUAAUUCUGCAUGUCUUUUGUCUAUUGUUGUGUUUUAUAUUGCUAUUGUUUUUAUUCGGGCUUGGCCCCAUGUAAGCUGCCCUGAGUCCCCUUUGGGGAGAUAGAGGCGGGAUAUAAAAAUAAAGUUGUUAUUAUUAUUAUUAUUAUUAUUAUUAUUAUUAUUAUUAUUAUUAUUUCAAUGGGGGGACCCAACAUAUUUUGGAAAAAGCACUCCCCCCUCACCAAACAACAUUAAGCUUUGUCAGUAUGGAUAAUGUAAAAAAAAAAAUGCUGUUGGUAGUGAGAUUCUGGGUGUUGCCAUUUGAAAAUAAUUUUCCCCAAAAGAGCAAUUUUCUAACUCUCAUAUGUUAAUACAAUAUGGUACCAUGUGAAUAUGGACCUCCCGGUGGUGCAGUGGUUUAAACCACUGAGCUGCUGAACUUGCUGACCGAAAGGCUGGUGAUUUGAAUCCGGGGAUCAGGGUGAGCUCUUGUUGUCAGCCCCAGCUUCUGCCAACCAAGCAGUUCGAAAACAUGCAAAUGUGAGUAGAUCAAUAGGUUCUGCUCUGGCAGGAAGGUAAUGGUGUUCCAUGCAGUCAUUCCGGCCACAUGACCUUGGAGGUGUCUAUGGACAAUGCCUGCUCUCCGGCUUAGAAAUGGAGAUGAGCACCAGCCUCCAGAGUCGGACACGACUACACUUAAUGUCAGGGGAAAACCUUUAUCUUUUUUUACCAUGUGAAUAAUAUCAAAUGAGGGCUUUCCUUUAAUAAAAAAUAAUUUACACACAACUUUCACUGUUCUCAGACACAAAAGUUAAGUGAGAUUUAUUGAUGUUUAGAUUACCGUUCAACUAAUUUAUCUAUCUAUCUACCUAUUUAUUUAUACCCCACUUUUCUCCCAUCCAGGACCUCCGAUAAACUAAAAAAGCAAAUAAAAAGAAUUGCUAAAGAAUGCUGAUCAGAGAACAACACCCUAUUUAUAAAGGGGAAGAGAAAGGCACUGACUUAUUGAACCACCAAUUUCUUCUCCACUUGAACAGACAUUCAAGAGUCUUCCAGGCAAGGAGUUGUGGAGUUGUGUCCCACAGGAGAUAUAUAGGUCCUGGGGCAUCUUUGUAGCUUUUAUUUCUGCUGAAUCCAAAAGCUCAAUUCCCUUAGAAAUUAUUUAACUGAAAAAAACCCUGGUAUUUCCUCUCUGAAAUGCCCAAAUUGCCACAAAAACAUGGCAGUUGGAUUUGGCCCAACUAGAUGCAUCUCUCCCCAACUUGGGAUGACUAAUGGCAGCUCCCUGGGCUCUAGUUGUGGAUGGAGCUGCUCAGCAGCCUACUAUGACAUGCAUUUAUAUAUCUUAUUCACCAUAUUUCAAAGUAUGGUUGUGAAAGCUCAUCGGUGAAGAAUACUGAUAGAAAGAAAAUCAAAUGUAAUGUUGGAAAAGGUUCUAGGGAUACUAUGGGCUCCUAAAAAGACCAAUAAAUGGGUCCUAGAGCAAAUCAAUUCUGAACUCUUCAUACCAGCCAAGAUGACUAAACUGAGGCUGUUGUACUUUGGCCAUACCAUGAGAAUACAUGACACACUGGAAUAGCAAAGACAAUAAUAUUUGGCAAGGUGAAGAGCAGUAGGAAAAGAGGAAGACCACAUUAUAGACAGAUAGACUCAAUCAAAGAUUCCUCAAUCCUGGGUCUGCAAGAUAAUGGGUUGAUUUGGAAACCUGUCAUAGAUAAUAAGGUGAUUUGGAGGUCUCUCAUUCAUAGAGUUGACAAAAAUUGAAAUUGACUUGACAGCAGUUGACAACAAAAACUUUCUAGUCAUUCUCUCAAAGAACAUAAGGGCUUUCCUCACCACUUUGUUCUUACAACAACCCUUUAAGGUAAACCAGGUUCAAAAAGAGAGAUUGACACCAGAUGGCAGAGUGAGUUUCAUGGCUAGAUGGUGGCUUGAAACUGGGAUCUCCCACAUCCCACUCCAGCUCCGAUGUCUGAACCACACAGGCUCACAGGUAUUAAUAUCAGCAGGCCAUCAAAGAUCAGCAGCCACUUCUUUAAGAUAUAUUUGUUGGUAACUCAUAGCUCCAACCCAGUGGUGUCCAACCUUUGGUCCUCCAGGUGUUUUGAACUUCAGCUCCCAGAAUUCGUGAACAUUGGACAAGCUUUUGGGCUUCUGGGAGCUGGAGGACCACUGACUAACCAAUCAAUGAACUGAAUAAAAUCCAUACCAUUUCUCCAGCUAAUAUCUUUUAAACUAAUCAGCAUUCAUUGUUCGUUAUAUUUGUAUCACCUUAUGGAAAAUAUGGAUUCCAAUCCUGUGUCACUUCUGUCUUUUCAGGUAUAAGCCCCACUGAGUUCAAUGAAGCUUGGUUUUAAUAGGGGACAUAGGAUUAGAAUUUCAGUGCUGUGCUAGGACCAUAAAAUACAUUCAUUCUCAGUACUUCAAUAAUCAUAAUCUAUGGUUCAAACUUAACAAUAAAUCAUUGUUGUCUAUUCUGUCCUAAAAGGCCAAGCUCACUUUAUAAUUGACAUUUGUUCGUGUUAUGAUCUGGGCUCAAUAGUCUGCUCUUUAAUACAAAGCAGUAUUAUUAAUUUACUUUAUAGUCACUUUUGUUUAACUCUUUCUUGUAUUUCUUGCAUAGAACCUCCUAAUGAUCCUGCAUUUUGUAGCUGUCUUUAAUAGCCACCAAAAAUGCAUGAACUGGAAGCUGCUUUGAAAGGAGAAAUAUGGACUACUUUCUCUUCUUUUCCUAUUUUCUUUUUAAAAUGCAUACAUUCCAAUGUUAGCGUUUUCCAUAAACUGUCCACAGUCACACACAUAUGCACACAUAUUUUUUGUGUGUGUCAGGAGCCACCGGAGUUGCUUCUGGAGUGAGAGAAUUGGCCGUCUGCAAGGACGUUGCCCAGGGGACACCCGGAUGUUUUGAUGUUUUUACCAUCCUUGUGGGAGGCUUCUCUCAUGCCCCCGCAUGGAGCUGGAGCUGAUAGAGGGAGCUCAUCCGCGCUCUCCCCGGGUGGGAUUCGAACCUGGCAGCUUCAGGUCAGCAACCCAACCUUCAAGUCACAAGGCUUUUAUCCCCUAGGCCAGUGAUGGCCAACCUAUGACAUGCGUGUCAGCACUGACAUGCCUAGCCAUUUUUGCUGACACGCUGCUGCAUGCAGAUUGAUUGGAUGACUAUGUCUUUUGUGGCCAAAUUUGGUGUGAUUUGGUCCAGUGUUUUUGUUGUUUACUCCAUGGGAAUUAUGCACAUUACAUUAUAUAUAUAUAUAUAUAUAUAUAUAUAUAUAUAUAUAUAUACUAUUACAUUAUUAUAUUAUUCAUUAUUCAUGACUACAUUGAAACUAGAAGAGAGAGAAAUCAGCGUAGAAACUGCAAGAGGUACCAUAGAUUGUUGUACAUGGAAAUAAUGGUAGUAAAUAGUUUUUGAUUUAUUGAAUACAGUUAUAUAUUACAAUUAUAUAUUUUUGUUAUUUAAACUACACAUAUUGCAAAAUUAUGGUUUUUUUCUCGAAGUGACACACCACCCAAGUCAUGCUAGAUUUUUUUUGUGAAUUUUGACACAGCAAGCACAAAAGGUUGCCCAUCAUUGCCCUAGGCCACCGGAGGCUCCUAUUAUAUGCACACAUAUAAUCCAAACCUAAAGCACAAAUGAAAAACAAAACAAAAAGCAAGGGAGUAAAAAUAUAAUCAGUUCUGAUCAAUCCUAAUUUCUAAAAUUGCUCUCUUGACUUCAGGGGAUUUAAUGCUUUAAUUGAAAUGGCAGAUCUAUCUGUGUCCUUGUUAAAACCAAACGGUUGGUGCCUGUUCCUGCACAGACUCCAAAAAAUAAUAUCUUGGCGAUGGAAGGGUUAAGGAGACAACAAAAGGUUGUUUCUAAUUCCAGUGUGAGCAUUCUCAGUGAUGCACUCUGAAAAUCCAUCCUGCCAUGCUGAAAUCCUAAAUUGCCGGUGCCUUGCACCCUACCGCAACAUUUCAGUCUGCUGGAAAGGUUGCCGCAACUGUUGCUAUGGCCAAAAGCUUGGAUCUGCCUGUACCUGUCCAACAAUAAACCGCACCAGGGGAGGACUUCGGGUGAGCCGAACACCUCGGUCACACGCUAAGCAAACUCCCAACAGGUGUGCUUGCAGAACGGGCUCUCCAUCAGCGUCCUGUCAUGCAUAAAAUGUUUAUCCAAUUUGUCAAGAUAAUCUUUCCUCAAAUAAGGCCAGGGUCUAGGCCCCAGGAACAACCAGAAUUCAGGUGGUAUAAAGUAACUCUCUCCCUCUCUUUUUCCUCCCUUUCCCCUUCCCGGAGCCUCCUUCCCCUGCUCUUCUUAAUCGUUGUGUCAACUUUUCCUCAGCUUUAAGCAAACCCAGAGUCAUUAUGUCAUUUGUAAUGGGAGAUAUCUGCUCACAGGCCAAGCCGAUUUGCCAGCUAACUUCAAAAUGCUUCUAAAAGGUGCUUGGAUCCCUUUCCAAAUACACCUUUUGCAGAUGUUUCUCCAAGCCCGGUACAUCAAUGACCUGACGAUUUGUUUGACUAGCCGCAGAUAAUGGGUCUUUGAUGGCUAAAUUGGGAAUUACGUGUAAAUAAAAUACAUACUCCACUUAGGUCUUUAGUGCUACUCCAUCUCCUUACCUGUCUACCUGCUUAUAGGACAUAGAAAUGAUCACAAUGGGCGAGACCAAAGGCCCCCAUGAAUCAGUGAAGCGUCCCAUCAAGCAUGACUGGAUGGAUCUUUAUAGGAAUUGGGCCCCUCUCUUCUAUGCAAAGAACAAGCACAAAGAAGCCCAUACAAGAAUGAUGCAGACAGCUUAGAAUGGUUUUCUCUUUAGACAUUUUUUAGAUCUUCCAGUGUGGUUCUAUGACAUGCUUCCAUCAGAAGUAGCUCAUCCAGUGCUUGCAAGGGCACUGCACCGCCAUUUGCCUUGCAUGGUUAUAGUCCUAUGCUUCCAAUUUGGCUGGAACUAUACUGCCAUAUAAUGCAGUUUCAGAAUUUAUUUAUUUAUUUACAGUAUUUAUAUUCCGCCCUUCUCACCCCGAAGGGGACUCAGGGCGGAUUACAAUGAAUACAUAUAUGACAAACAUUCAAUGCCAACAGACAAACAACAUACAUUAGACAGACUCAGAGGCAUUUUAAACAUUUUUUUCAGCUUCAUGAUUCCGGCCACAGGGGGAGCUGUUGCUUCACCGUCCAGAAGUGGCUGUACUUCCUCAUUCCUUUCCUCGAGUUUUGCUGGCAGCUUUAUGGUGUUGUAAAUUAGCCUCCCGCAUAAAGCGUCCCUAAAUUUCCCUAAUUGACAGGUGCAACUGUUUUUCGGGGCUGCAUAGGUCAACAGCAAGCCGGGGCUAUUAAUGGUCGGAGGCUUAACCUGACCCGGGCUUCGAACUCAUGACCUCUUGGUCAGUAGUGAUUUAUAGCAGCUGGUUACUAGCCAGCUGCGCCACAGCCCGGCCCCAAUGUACAUUAAUUGCAUUGAACUGGAUUAUAUGGCAAUGUGCAUUAACUGCAUUGAACUGGAUUAUAUGGCAAUGUAGACUCAGACUCCCCCUCCCACCCUGAAAAUUGCGAUCCAAACAUCAAACUUUGAUUGACACUUGGAGGACUGAAUUCACUAUCAGAGAAGGAGGAAGUCUCCAACACUUAUCUGAAUAUUGUUUCCUACUUCUCUCUAUUUUCCUCUUCCUUAUAUUUCUGAAUUUCACUUGGCAAUGUACAAUAGCAUUUUCAUUGGCAGUGAUUGGCAGUUUCAAGCAUACGAUACAUUUGAUUUCUCUUCUGAAUUAUGAGUGAUGCUUCCCUUGAGGGCGUAUCUGCCUAAGACAAUGUUCUUUGUCUGGCAACAUCAUUCUUCCUCGGAUUUUCUGAUCAUUCAAAGGCAUUCUUGUAUUCCUCACUGAGCAUGUACAUCAUACUUUGUUCUGACGGCUGGAAUCUUGAAGCACGAAGAAUGUAUCUGAAAAGAGAAAGCAUUCUUGUUUGAAGCAAUCCUUUUCCCUCUCUCAGUCUCUGAGUUCACCUCUUUAUUUCUGAAAAAUUCAGCACAGAAAUCCAAAUGGAAAUAAGGUAAAUAGAAAGAGUUAGAAUAUCAAUAUGAAAUAUAUGUAUAUGCGUAUUUAUGUGUGUAACAAAUAUGAUACAUCACUAAUGUAAUCAAUUAUUCAAAUUACACAGCCACACUAAAUAAUAGUAUUGGGGAAGGUCCAUCAGACAUAAAUCAUUUGUUGAAGGGAGAAAAGACCCAGGUCUCAUUUGGUUCUUCAUUUAAACAGAAAUCAGACACAAUUUGACUAGCAGUCUUCACCAGCAGUCAAUGUAAAUCUUAUGAGUGGACCCUUGCUACCAAAAUCUAUGGAUGCUCUAAUUCAUUAUAUGCAAUGGUAUAAUAAAAUGGUACCCUGUAUAUAAAAUGGCAAAAUCAAGGUUUUCUUUUUGGGUUUUUUUUUUGGAGCAGGAAUAUUCUCAAGGCAUGGAUGGUGGAAUCUGUGGAUUCAGAAUCCACAGAUACCAAGGGUCAAAUGUAUUCCCUCAAGAUCAAAUGUUGAUGUGUUGGUAGUCCUAGCUACUCUAGGCUUUAAAAGUGAGAAGCAUCACUGAAUCAUUGAAUAUUUGAGUUGAAAGGAAUCACAUAGGCCAUCUAGUCCAACUCUGUGACCCAUAUCACUUAGGAAUACACAACUAAAACAUUCCCGAAAAAUGCCCAUCCAAGCUCUGUUUUAAGGAUCCUCAAAGACGGAGAGUCCAUCCUGCCUCAUCAGGCUGGCCAAUAUUCUUCCUAAUGUUUACUUGUAAUUUGAAUUCAUUGGUCCAUGUUGUAGCCUGAGAAGCAUCAGAAAACAAACUCACUCCAUCUUUUACAUUACAUCCCUUCAGAUAAUUAAAGCUUGCUGUCAUGUCACCUUUGAGUCUCCUUUUCUGCAAGCUAAAUUUGGAUUCCAAAUAGCAAUAGCCCACUAUAUUCUGCAUUGGUCAGGCCUCAUCUGGAGCACUGCAUUGGGUGAGCACUGGGUGGGUUUGAUAGAACCAGGUCUCAUGAUUUGAAGAAGAUUCCAAUUGAAUAUUAGAAGUAAGUUGAUACUUAAAGCAGUUCUGUAAUGGAAGCAAUUGCCUAAAGAGGUGGUAGGGUCUUCUUCUUUGGAUAUCUUUAAAAAGAACCAGCUAACUGCUGGUUAUGUUUUAGGUGAAACUCUUACCUUGAACAGGGCUUUGGGCUUGAUGACCAAUGCAGCCUUUCCAACUCCAUGUCACUGUGGUCACCUUUCUCUGGACACAGUCCAACUUGUUCAGCUUGUCUGAACAUGUUCAAGCAUCAGCUUGUUAUCAUUUCCAAACUAGUGAAACAUGAUGUGUUAAAAAAAAUCCCCAAAGCUGUCAUCUCUUGUUGUAAUGUUUCAUAUUAGCCAAGUUUUUAAAAUAUUCUUCAAGAGUAUUCUCUGUGCAUUAUUAUAUUCCAAACAGGAUCAGAAUAUGAAUAUCAAGCAACAAUCUCCCGAGACAGGCUUCUCGCUCUGCCUAUCAACCCAGACCCUUUCCCCCCAGUUC